ensembl:lncRNA
CCAAGUAGGGCUCGCUGCAGCCUGCGGUGGACAUCCAACCCCGCCCACAUCCAAGUGUGACGUCAGAAGUCACGCCCAUCCCGACACAACCCCACCCACGUCCAAGUGUGACGUAAACGAAAGCCACGCCCAUAUCAAAUACGUCUCCUCAUGUGAUUUCCCCAUCCCCGUACCUGGAAACCCGGAAGUAGUCUUUGAUGGCAUUCUGUUGAUUUUUACUGUCCAUCUGGAGAACGGCAGGCCCUGUCACCUCCCCACAGAAUAACCCACGAUGACUCUGUACCACGCUGGACCAAUGUCCCUUACAAACUUCCACUUUAUGUCCUCUUGGCGCUCCUGUUAAAAAUAGAGAAUACAUACUGCCCCCCCGCCGAUGAUCCAAUGCCCCUCCAGUAGAUCUGCUCUGAC